UACAGAGGGUGCAAGCGUUAAUCGGAAUUACUGGGCGUAAAGCGCGCGUAGGUGGUGGGUUAAGUUGGAUGUGAAAGCCCCGGGCUCAACCUGGGAACUGCAUCCAAAACUGGCCGACUAGAGUACAGUAGAGGGUGGUGGAAUUUCCUGUGUAGCGGUGAAAUGCGUAGAUAUAGGAAGGAACACCAGUGGCGAAGGCGACCACCUGGACUGAUACUGACACUGAGGUGCGAAAGCUGGGGUCUCGAACCGG
rnacentral:misc_RNA from 1 species